GAGGAGCUGAUCAACCUGAGGAGGGACAGAGUGACGGAGCUGAACGUCAAACUGACGGACAGCGAGAGUCGGCGGACCGACCAGAUCAGAGCUGUUCUGAAGAAGUACUGCCCAAUGUUGGAGGACAUCCACUUCCUGUUUCCGCCGGACGUCCACAGGCUGAUGCAUGCUGAGGCCAUGAUGUUGAAUCAGGCUCUGCUGGCAAACCGCCGCGGCGUCGCACGUCUGCACCUGUGCCUGCGGGAGGCGACGCUGCAGCGGCAGUCAGAGCUGCGCUGGCACUGGGAGGAUUGUCUGCGCCGCUGGCAGACCAGCAGGGUCAGCGAGGUCGUACGGCGGUUCAGGAGUGUGUGCAGCAGGGAUGAGGAUCUGCAGCCGGCCUCCAAUCAGCAGAUCAAUGACACGCAGCAGCAGCUGGCAGAACAACGCCGUGACAUCAUCAGCAGGAUGUGGUAACAGCAACAAAUUCCAACUGACCUUUGCAGGCUCCGCCCACUCCAUGCGUCAUCCAACAACAUCCUCUCUUUAUGCUUCAGCUCUCUG
rnacentral:lncRNA from 1 species